CAACAAGAAUCAAGCAUUCAUACAGCUGAGAGGGAAGGAUUUCAAGUGUACUUUCCAACAAAUCAAACGGCACAUGAUUCGGAGCUUGCUAGAGAAAGAUAUCACGAAUUAAAGUUGAAUCCGAUUCGGGUCCGAGCUGCCAGGAGACCCGAAUUUGUUUUAAUCACCCAGGCCGCAUCCGGAGUCCAAAUCAAGCAAACAAGUACUUGUUGGAAAGAUAAUUACAAGACCUUUCCAACGGAUCUGGC
rnacentral:lncRNA from 1 species